UUCAGCGAUAAUUCGCUCAAUUUGAGCGACAAUUCGCUCAAUUCAGCGACAAUAUGAUUUAGCCCAAUAUUAACAGUGAAUUUCAAUUUGUCGAAUUAUUCAAUGAACUCUAUAAUCUUCUCUUAAUGUAUGUCGUGUUGCGUCCCAUUUGUGUUUGAAUGGUGCAUAUGCCUCCGGGGACUUUAUGGGCUGAAUUUGAAGGUAGGGACAGGUUCUUAUAUAGCUGUGUUAUCAAAUCUUGUGUUAUCAAAUCUACAGUUCCAUGAUCUGGGUAACAGUGAGAUAGUACUCAAAUAGGCUUCCAUGAUUUCUGUGGGAAGUGAAGUCAGCACUCUGUGACCAAGUUUUAUCUCUAGCUGAAUACAGAACUCAAUUAUAUGAUUGAUUAUUUGAAAAGCAAGAUGAACGCAAUCGCUCCAAAUUUGACUUUCCUUGGUGGAAGCUUGAUAGAUCUUGCAAAGCAGCCUGGGAGCACAGUACAAUUUCUUGGAGCAGAACUUUGAAAACUAAACAGGCAACCCAUAAAUAUGGGCUUAUCUAUCAUGCUUCCUUGAUUGAGCAGGCUGCUCCUAAGCACAAGGGUAAACUAUCUUGUUCUCUUGCAGCAAAAACUGUAUUGGCUAUUCGUUAUUAUGCUCUUGGAGAUAUCCCUGACCACAUUAUGGGUCUUGAGAAUCAAGCCAAGCUUGAAGCCCGUCUAAGAAAUCUUGAAGGUAAAGUGGGCAAAUCUGCAGAAUCAGCCAAGGGAAAACCACAAAUACAAGUCUAUGACAAAGAUCGUAAGAAGGGAGCAGGAGCACUAAUUACCCCUGCUAUUUUGUUUACCAAUUCACUCCUUGCUUCUCUUGCAUGUCUUGCCUUGCCAGGUUGUCAGUUUUUUUUUUUUAUUUCCCUUUAUUUUAACACUGCAUUCUAUCUUUUGCAGACGUAUAAUCCUGCAGCUGGGGGCAAGAAAAAUUUAUUAGCACUUCAAAACUUUUUGUAAAGGUGGAGAGGGUAAACCCUCAAGUGCAUAAACAGCCUUCCUUCACCAAGAAACUAAACAAACCUGCCCCGAACCUCCAAACAACUAUCAAAGCAAGCAGAACAAAUUCUAUACAAGCAUUAAUCCUGUAAAGCCAAUUGCAAUCCUCUUUGCUCCAUUUGGGAGAAAUAAGCUACUGCAUCCUCCUCUCCAUUUAGGAUCUGCAAUCUACUAAGUUGUUUAUUGUUAUUCACAUGCUCUCAGUCUGUUUUCUAAGUGAUAUCUUACUUCCAUAUUGCACGCCAAAAUUGUGCAAUGCUGGAAGAUAAUAAAUAUUCUUAAUCUGCUUCUCUCAUUGGAUAGAACUUCACUUCAGUAGUGUGAUUCAUCCAUAGCUCUCAAUACUUUCUAUACCAGUGUUUGAGUUUUGUAGUUAACUAAUGAUACUGCUACUGUUUUUAAUUUGUUAACCAGUGUGCUCGACUUUUUAAAAUUCUUCAGGUAGUGAAGCUGAAAGCAUUUUCAAGUUUGAAAAUACAUCAGAAGCUUUAGCAGCUACUACUUUAUUGAUUGAUGCCAAUACUCGUGAAUGAAUGCUGUUAUUUCUGAAAUUGAUGCUGGCAAUUAUUUGUUAAUACUCGUGAAAUGCUUUACAUCGCGAUUGGGUGAUCAUUCAAACUAACUUGUGGCUGAAUUGCUGAUUGGGUGAAUGAAAUAUGCCCUCUUGAUGUUAAAAGCUGGAAAGAUAUGCAUGAACAGGCAUUAGAUUGAUUAUAUGGAAGGAUUAAGGAAUUUGAAAACUCUGGACUUAUACGAAAGUGAAGUUAAUGAUUCAAGUGGGAAUUGGAUAAGCCAUUUUCCGGAUACUUAUACCUCAUUAGUUACUCUGCCUCAUCUCAGAGCUGCAAUUCUCUUCUCUCGAGCGUUUGGUAAGCAGAUGCCCAAACCUGAAAUCACUCAGGCUCAACAGUGCAGUGCCUCUGGAUAAGCUCUCAAUUCUCUGGGAGAAGGCUCCUCAGUUUGUUGACAUUGGCUCUGGCUCAUUUUUGACUGAGCUCGACACUGAAGGCCAUGAUAAAAUUACUAGGGCAUUUGCUGGAUGUAAAGGGCUCAAGGGGCUAUCUGGGCUCUUUGAUGUUGUCCUUGCUUAUCUUCCCGCCCUAUGAAAUUAAAGAGGUGGAUUAUUGCAAGUGGCUACAAAUACGGGUGGGUUUAGGCAAGAUUUUAAUAAAAAAGGGAAAUUAUGCAUCAUGAUACCCUCUUUAAUGUCAGGAACAUAAAGGAAAUUAUGUGCCAUGAUACUUUCUAAUCAAUGAUCAAUGCAGGUACUUGAUUACAUUGAAGACAGUGGCCUUGAAGUGCUUGCAGAAUCAUGCAAGGACCUGCGGGAGCUACGCGUCUAAUAUGUAUUCCUUUCUUUGUCAUCAAGAAAUCCAAUAUUCGUUAAUUGCAAAUAAGAAAUAUUGUACUUGUAUAUUUUGUUUACUCAAGGGAACAAGAGAUAUAAUUAGAUACAAACUCUAAUGUCUUAAUUAUUAUUAUAUUAGGAUACUAUCGGAUUAUCUAAAGCCUAUAUAUAUACACCUGCUCAUAUGUUUCAUUGUUUCAAUACACGACUACACUUUUAAAAAUCA